UAUAGUGUUGUGAGGUCCCUCAGUAUGGUGAUAAUAUGGUAUGGUGAGGUCCCUCAGUAUGGUGAUAAUAUGGUAUGGUGAGGUCCCUCAGUAUGGUGAUAAUAUGGUAUGGUGAGGUCCCUCAGUAUGGUGAUAAUAUAGUGUUGUGAGGUCCCUCAGUAUGGUGAUAAUAUGGUAUGGUGAGGUCCCUCAGUAUGGUGAUAAUAUAGUGUUGUGAGGUCCCUCAGUAUGGUGAUAAUAUGGUAUGGUGAGGUCCCUCAGUAUGGUGAUAAUAUAGUGUUGUGAGGUCCCUCAGUAUGGUGAUAAUAUGGUAUGGUGAGGUCCCUCAGUAUGGUGAUAAUAUGGUAUGGUGAGGUCCCUCAGUAUGGUGAUAAUAUAGUGUUGUGAGGUCCCUCAGUAUGGUGAUAAUAUGGUAUGGUGAGGUCCCUCAGUAUGGUGAUAAUAUGGUAUGGUGAGGUCCCUCAGUAUGGUGAUAAUAUAGUGUUGUGAGGUCCCUCAGUAUGGUGAUAAUAUGGUAUGGUGAGGUCCCUCAGUAUGGUGAUAAUAUGGUAUGGUGAGGUCCCUCAGUAUGGUGAUAAUAUGGU